rnacentral:rRNA from 1 species
UUAAGCGACCAAGCGUACACGGUGGAUGCCCUGGCAGUCAGAGGCGAUGAAGGGCGUGCUAAUCUGCGAUAAGCGCCGGUAAGGUGAUAUGAACCGUUAUAACCGGCGAUACCCGAAUGGGGAAACCCAGUGUGUUUCGACACACUAUCAUUAACUGAAUCCAUAGGUUAAUGAGGCGAACCGGGGGAACUGAAACAUCUAAGUACCCCGAGGAAAAGAAAUCAACCGAGAUUCCCCCAGUAGCGGCGAGCGAACGGGGAGGAGCCCAGAGCCUGAAUCAGCAUGUGUGUUAGUGGAAGCGUCUGGAAAGGCGCGCGAUACAGGGUGACAGCCCCGUACACAAAAGCGCACGUGCUGUGAGCUCGAUGAGUAGGGCGGGACACGUGGUAUCCUGUCUGAAUAUGGGGGGACCAUCCUCCAAGGCUAAAUACUCCUGACUGACCGAUAGUGAACCAGUACCGUGAGGGAAAGGCGAAAAGAACCCCGGCGAGGGGAGUGAAACAGAACCUGAAACCGUGUACGUACAAGCAGUGGGAGCCCCACCACUAAGCCAGUGGUGAGAACCCAUGACGCAUCCUUUGCUGAGGAUACGGUUAACGGAGCGAAAGCGACGUUCAACCGCAAAAGAAGCAGAGGGGGCUUAGUGGUGGGGUGACUGCGUACCUUUUGUAUAAUGGGUCAGCGACUUAUAUUCUGUAGCAAGGUUAACCGCAUAGGGGAGCCGGAGGGAAACCGAGUCUUAACCGGGCGUUAAGUUGCAGGGUAUAGACCCGAAACCCGGUGAUCUAGCCAUGGGCAGGUUGAAGGUUGGGUAACACUAACUGGAGGACCGAACCGACUAAUGUUGAAAAAUUAGCGGAUGACCUGUGGCUGGGGGUGAAAGGCCAAUCAAACCGGGAGAUAGCUGGUUCUCCCCGAAAGCUAUUUAGGUAGCGCCUCGUGAAUUCAUCUCCGGGGGUAGAGCACUGUUUCGGCUAGGGGGCCAUCCCGGCUUACCAACCCGAUGCAAACUGCGAAUACCGGAGAAUGUUAUCACGGGAGACACACGGCGGGUGCUAACGUCCGUCGUGAAGAGGGAAACAACCCAGACCGCCAGCUAAGGUCCCAAAGUCAUGGUUAAGUGGGAAACGAUGUGGGAAGGCCCAGACAGCCAGGAUGUUGGCUUAGAAGCAGCCAUCAUUUAAAGAAAGCGUAAUAGCUCACUGGUCGAGUCGGCCUGCGCGGAAGAUGUAACGGGGCUAAACCAUGCACCGAAGCUGCGGCAGCGACACUUAAGUGUUGUUGGGUAGGGGAGCGUUCUGUAAGCCUGUGAAGGUGGCCUGUGAGGGUUGCUGGAGGUAUCAGAAGUGCGAAUGCUGACAUAAGUAACGAUAAAGCGGGUGAAAAGCCCGCUCGCCGGAAGACCAAGGGUUCCUGUCCAACGUUAAUCGGGGCAGGGUGAGUCGACCCCUAAGGCGAGGCCGAAAGGCGUAGUCGAUGGGAAACGGGUUAAUAUUCCCGUACUUGGUGUUACUGCGAAGGGGGGACGGAGAAGGCUAUGUUGGCCGGGCGACGGUUGUCCCGGUUUAAGCGUGUAGGCUGGUUUUCCAGGCAAAUCCGGAAAAUCAAGGCUGAGGCGUGACGACGAGGCACCACGGUGCUGAAGCAACAAAUGCCCUGCUUCCAGGAAAAGCCUCUAAGCAUCAGGUAACACGAAAUCGUACCCCAAACCGACACAGGUGGUCAGGUAGAGAAUACCAAGGCGCUUGAGAGAACUCGGGUGAAGGAACUAGGCAAAAUGGUGCCGUAACUUCGGGAGAAGGCACGCUGACACGUAGGUGAAGUGAUUUACUCAUGGAGCUGAAGUCAGUCGAAGAUACCAGCUGGCUGCAACUGUUUAUUAAAAACACAGCACUGUGCAAACACGAAAGUGGACGUAUACGGUGUGACGCCUGCCCGGUGCCGGAAGGUUAAUUGAUGGGGUUAUCCUCGCGGAGAAGCUCCUGAUCGAAGCCCCGGUAAACGGCGGCCGUAACUAUAACGGUCCUAAGGUAGCGAAAUUCCUUGUCGGGUAAGUUCCGACCUGCACGAAUGGCGUAAUGAUGGCCAGGCUGUCUCCACCCGAGACUCAGUGAAAUUGAACUCGCUGUGAAGAUGCAGUGUACCCGCGGCAAGACGGAAAGACCCCGUGAACCUUUACUAUAGCUUGACACUGAACAUUGAGCCUUGAUGUGUAGGAUAGGUGGGAGGCUUUGAAGCGUGGACGCCAGUCUGCGUGGAGCCAACCUUGAAAUACCACCCUUUAAUGUUUGAUGUUCUAACGUGGACCCGUUACCCGGGUUGCGGACAGUGUCUGGUGGGUAGUUUGACUGGGGCGGUCUCCUCCCAAAGAGUAACGGAGGAGCACGAAGGUUGGCUAAUCCUGGUCGGACAUCAGGAGGUUAGUGCAAUGGCAUAAGCCAGCUUGACUGCGAGCGUGACGGCGCGAGCAGGUGCGAAAGCAGGUCAUAGUGAUCCGGUGGUUCUGAAUGGAAGGGCCAUCGCUCAACGGAUAAAAGGUACUCCGGGGAUAACAGGCUGAUACCGCCCAAGAGUUCAUAUCGACGGCGGUGUUUGGCACCUCGAUGUCGGCUCAUCACAUCCUGGGGCUGAAGUAGGUCCCAAGGGUAUGGCUGUUCGCCAUUUAAAGUGGUACGCGAGCUGGGUUUAGAACGUCGUGAGACAGUUCGGUCCCUAUCUGCCGUGGGCGCUGGAGAACUGAGGGGGGCUGCUCCUAGUACGAGAGGACCGGAGUGGACGCAUCACUGGUGUUCGGGUUGUCAUGCCAAUGGCACUGCCCGGUAGCUAAAUGCGGAAGAGAUAAGUGCUGAAAGCAUCUAAGCACGAAACUUGCCCCGAGAUGAGUUCUCCCUGAGACUUAAAGUCUCCUGAAGGAACGUUGAAGACGACGACGUUGAUAGGCCGGGUGUGUAAGCGCAGCGAUGUGUUGAGCUAACCGGUACUAAUGAACCGUGAGGCUUAACCUU